rnacentral:rRNA from 1 species
GAUUUCUGGUUCGGCGCACUUGGCCCGCCUCGGUUUACGGGGUUGUGUGCCGGUGUGCGCCAUCCAUCCUUCGAGUACACGUGUUCUACCCUUCACUGGGUGUGAGCACGCUUGGCUCGAUCUUUUACUUUGAAAAAAUUAGAGUGUUUAAAGCAGGCUUGCGCUAUGAAUACAUUAGCAUGGAAUAAUAAUUUAGGACUUCGGUUCUAUUUUGUUGGUUUCUAGGACUGAAGUAAUGAUUGAUAGGGAUAGUUGGGGGUGCUAGUAUUCAGCGGCCAGAGGUGAAAUUCUCGGAUUCGCUGAAGACUAACUUAUGCGAAAGCAUU